GAUAACACUUAGAAAUAGGUGCUAAUACCGCAUAAGCGCACGGCUCCGCAUGGGGCAGUGUGAAAAACUCCGGUGGUAUACGAUGGAUCCGCGUCUGAUUAGCUUGUUGGCGGGGUAGAGGCCCACCAAGGCGACGAUCAGUAGCCGGCCUGAGAGGGUGAACGGCCACAUUGGGACUGAGACACGGCCCAAACUCCUACGGGAGGCAGCAGUGGGGAAUAUUGCACAAUGGGGGAAACCCUGAUGCAGCGACGCCGCGUGAGUGAAGAAGUAUUUCGGUAUGUAAAGCUCUAUCAGCAGGAAAGAAAAUGACGGUACCUGACUAAGAAGCCCCGGCUAACUACGUGCCAGCAGCCGCGGUAAUACGUAGGGGGCAAGCGUUAUCCGGAUUUACUGGGUGUAAAGGGAGCGUAGACGGUGAAGCAAGUCUGAAGUGAAAGGCGGGGGCUCAACCCCCGGACUGCUUUGGAAACUGUUUGACUGGAGUGCAGGAGAGGUAAGUGGAAUUCCUAGUGUAGCGGUGAAAUGCGUAGAUAUUAGGAGGAACACCAGUGGCGAAGGCGGCUUACUGGACUGUAACUGACAUUGAGGCUCGAAAGCGUGGGGAGCAAACAGGAUUAGAUACCCUGGUAGUCCACGCGGUAAACGAUGAUCACUAGGUGU
rnacentral:rRNA from 1 species